AGUAACCCCAAGCUUAGCUGCAGUGCACAUGCUGCUGAGGGGCUGCUGCUCAGAGGCUGAGGACCUCGGAAAGGCACAGGUUCCAUUCCCAGCCCCAUCUACAGGUGGGGGCAGAGGCCUGGACCUGUGGUCCUGGCCAGCUAAGAGGCUAGGGCAAAGGGUAUCAACACGGCAAGACUCUGCCAAAGACCUCUCCUCUCCCCCCUCUCUCUCCCAAAUAAGUAGGUUUAUUGUAAAAUGUCACACCGUUAUCUUCUGGCUUUGCAGUUUACAGAAGCUGUAAACCUUUUGAUCUGGUUGUUCUUCAGAUGUUAUCAUCUCUGACUUUCAGAAGCUCUUUGCUGUGAUCCUGACAGCACGGAGAGGUGGAGACAAUCGGAUUACGGUGUGACCACGCCCCAUAGGGGAGCAGUCUCUCUCUUUUCCUCUGCCUUAUCUUGGAAGAGGCCACUCACCACUUCUGCCUUGAUCUACUCGUUACAAGCAAACCAUGAAGUCCAGCCAAAAGUAACAGGAGCAGAUUCCACGAGGAGUCAAGGAUCACAGGAAGCAGUUUAGAGGCUACCCACCACCAUUACUGACGGAUCGCCUUGGGCUUUCUGGAGCUCAUUUUAAGGUAGUUCAGGGCAGAUGGAGAAGAGCAGGUACUCCAGGGCUAUUUGGUUCCACUUUAAGGCACGACCCUUUAGCAGUCCCUACGGAAUGUUUCAACUACUAAACAGGGAUCUCCACAGUGCCCGGUAGGAACUCGAAUGGUUUCUGCCCUGUUGAACUAUGGGAAGCGCUGGUCUGACAGCUCCCAUCUAACUGCUCCUGGGACAGUUCUUGCCUAGCCCGUGGAAUUUCACCUACGCAUGCACGGACUGGCACUCGGGCAAAGACUCGAAGGGAUGCAGGCCCCUCACCUACGUGGAAACAGUCCACUCAGCCACACUUUGCAACAGUGGCUGAACAAACAGCACGAUGAGAGAGGGCCUUGGGCCCACAGAGACACAGCCAUCCACCUGCUUCUGCUCUGCAUUCCACAACGGCAAAGAAGGGGCACUUCCAAAACUUGUUUCUAAUGAACUGACAACACUCUUAAGCUGGAGUAUUACAAAAUGCCCCCCCCCAAGGAAUCCUACUUCUCUGAAUCCAUGCUUUGUGCAGACCCCUCCCACUCGAAUCCUGAGCUGGUCUUCUGACUUGCAUGGACCUAUGAGUGGGCUCAAAGUGACAUGGUCUCAGUUUCAAGCCUAGAUCUUAAGAGGCUUUGCUAACUUCCACUUUCCCUAGCCUGGAGCUGAAGAUAUCACGCCAUGGAGGAGCCUGAGAAGAAAGAUCACAUGCAGAGAGUGCCCGGUAUGCAACUGCAGGAGUGAGUGCAGGCAAUGCUGGCCAAGAACUGCCUCUCGCAAAGCAACGACCUGCUAUUUUAAACCACUACGUUUUGAAGUGAUCUGCUAUGCAACAGAGGCCAAGACAUGACAAGUAUUUGCUCUACUUACAGAGGUGUCUUAGUGUAGCACAGCAGUUAACAGCAUAGUCUCUCAAACCUGAGGGCCUUGGUUCAAAUCCCAGCUCUACCAUGUUUUAAGUGUAUAAACCUCAAAAAGUUACUUAACUUUUUUGAGCCUGUUUCCACAUGAAAAAUAAGCAUAAAAACAAUACCUAA